rnacentral:rRNA from 1 species
GUACCCGUACCGCAAACCGACACAGGUGGGUGAGGAGAGUAUCCUAAGGCCAGCGAGAGAACUGUUGUUAAGGAACUCGGCAAAAUGACCCCGUAACUUAGGGAUAAGGGGUGCCACCAUCAGGUGGCCGAAGAGAAUAGGCCCAAGCGACUGUUUACCAAAAACAUAGGUUUCUGCUAAGUCGCAAGACGAUGUAUAGGAGCUGACGCCUGCCCGGUGCUGGAAGGUUAAGGGGAUCUGUUAGAGCAAUCGAAGCAGUGAACUUAAGC